rnacentral:rRNA from 1 species
UUGAACGCUGGCGGCAGGCUUAACACAUGCAAGUCGAGCGGCAGCGCGGGGCAACCUGGCGGCGAGCGGCGGACGGGUGAGUAACGCGUAGGAAUCUACCCAGUAGCGGGGGAUAGCCCGGGGAAACUCGGAUUAAUACCGCAUACGCCCCAAGGGGAAAAGCAGGGGAUCUUCGGACCUUGCACUAUUGGCAGAGCCUGCGUUGGAUUAGCUAGUUGGUAGGGUAAAGGCCUACCAAGGCGACGAUCCAUAACUGGUCUGAGAGGAUGAUCAGUCACACCGGAACUGAGACACGGUCCGGACUCCUACGGGAGGCAGCAGUGGGGAAUAUUGGACAAUGGGGGCAACCCUGAUCCAGCCAUGCCGCGUGUGUGAAGAAGGCCUUCGGGUUGUAAAGCACUUUAAGUGGGGAGAAAGGUUCGCUGCCUAACACGCAGCGGAAUUGAUGCUACCCACAGAAUAAGCACCGGCUAACUCUGUGCCAGCAGCCGCUGUAAGAC